rnacentral:rRNA from 1 species
GACGAACGCUGGCGGCGUGCCUAAUACAUGCAAGUCGAACGAGAGCAACCGGUGCUUGCUCUGGUCAAUCUAGUGGCGAACGGGUGAGUAACACGUGGGUAACCUGCCCAUCAGAGGGGGAUAACAUCCGGAAACGGAUGCUAAAACCGCAUAGGUCUUCGAACCGCAUGGUUUGAAGAGGAAAAGAGGCCCAAGCUUCUGCUGUUGGAUGGACCCGCGGUGCAUUAGCUAGUUGGUGAGGUAACGGCUCACCAAGGCCGUGAUGCAUAGCCGACCUGAGAGGGUGAUCGGCCACAUUGGGACUGAGACACGGCCCAAACUCCUACGGGAGGCAGCAGUAGGGAAUCUUCCGCAAUGGACGAAAGUCUGACGGAGCAAAGCCGCGUGAGUGAAGAAGGUUUUCGGAUCGUAAAACUCUGUUGUUAGAGAAGAACAAGUGCUAGAGUAACUGUUAGCGCCUUGACGGUAUCUAACCAGAAAGCCACGGCUAACUACGUG